rnacentral:rRNA from 1 species
GUGGGUGGCAAGCGUUGUCCGGAAUUAUUGGGCGUAAAGCGCGCGCAGGCGGUCCUUUAAGUCUGAUGUGAAAGCCCACGGCUCAACCGUGGAGGGUCAUUGGAAACUGGGGGACUUGAGUACAGAAGAGGAAAGCGGAAUUCCAAGUGUAGCGGUGAAAUGCGUAGAGAUUUGGAGGAACACCAGUGGCGAAGGCGGCUUUCUGGUCUGUAACUGACGCUGAGGCGCGAAAGCGUGGGGAGCAAACAGGGAUUAGAUACCCUGGUAGUCCACGCCGUAAACGAUGAGUGCUAAGUGUUAGGGGGUUUCCCGCCCCUUAGUGCUGCAGCUAACGCAUUAAGCACUCCGCCUGGGGAGUACGGCCGCAAGGCUG